rnacentral:rRNA from 1 species
CCUACGGGCGGCAGCAGUGGGGAAUAUUGGACAAUGGGGGGAACCCUGAUCCAGCCAUGCCGCGUGUGUGAAGAAGGCCCUCGGGUUGUAAAGCACUUUCAGUGAGGAAGAACGCCUGGUGGUUAAUACCCAUCAGGAAAGACAUCACUCACAGAAGAAGCACCGGCUAACUCCGUGCCAGCAGCCGCGGUAAUACGGAGGGUGCGAGCGUUAAUCGGAAUUACUGGGCGUAAAGCGCGCGUAGGUGGCUUGAUAAGCCGGUUGUGAAAGCCCCGGGCUCAACCUGGGAACGGCAUCCGGAACUGUCAAGCUAGAGUGCAGGAGAGGAAGGUAGAAUUCCCGGUGUAGCGGUGAAAUGCGUAGAGAUCGGGAGGAAUACCAGUGGCGAAGGCGGCCUUCUGGACUGACACUGACACUGAGGUGCGAAAGCGUGGGUAGCAAACAGGAUUUAGAUACCCCUGUAGUC